UUUCAAUAAGCCGUAACUUUUAUUGCACAUUCCUGUUUGGUCUUGCAACGACCUUUCACCUUUUGAACCGUUGACCUCGGUCUGGACUACACACUUCAGUCGGGAGUAGGGUGAAGUUGCUCAUAGAAACUGAUCUAGGAACAUAUUUGCACAUUCCACUCUAAUGGUUAGGGUUUAGGCAGGGUAAGCUGAUCCUAGAUCUGUGCCUAAGGCCAACUUCUACCCAAGCAGUAACGCAGUCCGGAACCAGAGAAAGAAGGAUUGACAUUGGUGAUAUCACAGAGGAGAGUAGGAAAUACAUGUGAGAGCCAAGAGUUGACUGAUCCUUCAGUUCCAUUGAGCUCCAUAGAAUUCUGCUCCUUGUGACAGAUUACUUCCUGGAGAAUGUUGGGGUUUUAUGACAUCAUUAUCUAGUCCUUCUUAAUCUGGUUCCUUGAAAGUCUCCCACAAAAUAUACACCUGAACACCCUUCUGACACAGAUACACAUCAUCAUUCUUAGUUCAGAUUUAUUUUUCUCUUUUUCUGUGACAAUACCUGCGACAUGCUUCAAAAUCUUCAUUUUGGCAAACCACAAAUAAAUUAAAACACAAACAUUCAGAGAACACAGCGUGACAGUAUUUUUUAGGGUAGUCGGAAAGAAAAAUAUACAUACAGAAAACAGAAAUCAAGAGAACAAGAGAAGAGAAGCAUUUUACUGUUUGUUUUUUACCCCGACUUCGUUUUUUUCGUUGCUUUUCUUGAAAAAAAGAUAGCUAGCUACCAAUCACUUACCACAUGCAGAUAUAAUACAGAAUCGAUUCACUCAGUUAGUGUCUGCAAACUACCGAUCUAAACUAUAUCACAAAAUGAUACUUUUUAAACCAGCAAACACCCAAUUUGGAGAUAUUUCAUCUUCUAUUAAUUGUUCACUUUACAGUAGAUUUCUCCUCUCAUCGUAACGCCCAGUGAAACACCCACAGCCAACCCUGACUUCACUGCCCACAAAAGAAGAGAGAAGACCAUCAUCAGCAUUGACUUAUGCCUCAUCCCAAAUGGCACCCUAUUCCCUACAUAGGGCUCUAGUCAAAAGUAGUGCACUAGAUGGGUAUUACAGUAGGGUACCAUUUUGAAACCUACCCUUUCCCAUGAUUAGAUACCAGAUGGUGAUUUCUGUAACUUUCCCCAAGGGAGCAUCACAGACACAGCAAGCAACCCCUCUCACACACAUGUCAUCCCCCCUGAUGAGGAACAUACUGUAUAAGAACAUGCUGUAUGAACAUUGCCUUACACACAAUGUAAAGCAAAAAAUUAGAUGUGUGGAGCUCCGGGAAGUGAGAGUGACAGAAUGUCAGAGCAGAGUUGGGUGUGUGUGUGUGUGUGUGUGUGUGUGUGUGUGUAGCAGGACAUAUGAUGGCAUCACUCUCACUAGUUAUUCAUCAGACAACUCUGUUUCUCUGUUCAAAUUUCACCGCAAUUAGCAGCUAUCUCUCUGUAGUGCUCAUUCACAGCCACACAUAUAAUGCACGGCAUAGGAGGGACUUGGAGGCUAGAGAGAGAGUGUGUGUGUGUGUGUAAUUGUUAUGAAACACACACACACACACACGCUUCUCUUCAGCCAUUUUGGAUUCCAGCUGACAUUUUGAGAAGCCGGCGGGAAACAUCAAAGCUUGCCACGCACCCUUCUCUCUUCCUCUGCCUCCCGUGUUCCCUCUCUUCCUCCCUCUAAUCCAGACAUCAAUCAGGAGCUCACUGAGACACGCUCAUCUCUCAGAGGACACUCGUUUAUUAUUCCACCACUCCAUCCUCACCAGGGCUCUGCUUUGUCCAUCCUCAUUUAGGGGUAUCGUGUGUGUGUGUGUGUGUGUGUGUGUGUGUGUGUGUGUGUGUGUGUGUGUGCGUGCGUGCACAUAUGAAUAUCAGCGCUAAAUGUUGAGGAGUGUGUGUGUGAUGUGCCAAUGCAAAAUAGCCACUCUGAAGUGUGUGGUGUACAAUCCCAUGGGGAACUAGUAGAGAUGAUCAUUUCCUCUGGUCAGGACAUCAUCAUCAUUACCCCUCUAACAACAUCUCCAUACAGUAAUAAUGUACUAAUACCAUUACUGGCAUACCGACGGUAAAGAGAUCAGCAUAGUACAGUUACCAUCACAUAGGAACACAAUGAAAAGCCAUGUUGAGACACACACAUGCAUGAAAGCACACACUCCCUUCAUGUGCCUGGUUAUUAGCUCGACCAUCUGGUAUCUAAAUCAUGGGAAUUAUAGCUGCUGGUCUUCUCCUACACAUGAUAAUAUGACGAGAGAGAGUGAGAGGUGAGAGAGAUUAAGAGAGAGCUAGAAAGAGUAGAGAGAGAGAGAGAGAGGGGAGAGAGAGAGAGCGCUGUAGUUGACUGCCAUUCUCUUCAUCGUACAGAGUCUCUGGGUAUAAAACAAGUGAUGUUUUUUCUCCAUUAGAAAUCAAUAACCAUGUAUGCAACACAGUGAGGUCUAAAUUUAGCCACAAAGAGGGAGAGAAUGAGAGAGAGGAGAACAGAGAGAAAAAGAAGAGAAAAGGAAGGGGUGAAGGGGUGAAGGGGUGAAUGGGUGAAGGGGUGAAUGGGUGAAGGGGUGAAUGGGUGAAUGGGUGAAUGGGUGAAGGGGUGAAUGGGUGAAGGGGUGAAUGGGUGAAGGGGGAACG
ensembl:lncRNA